rnacentral:rRNA from 1 species
CCUACGGGGUGCUGCAGUGAGGAAUAUUGGUCAAUGGACGAGAGUCUGAACCAGCCAAGUAGCGUGAAGGAUGACUGCCCUAUGGGUUGUAAACUUCUUUUAUAUGGGAAUAAAACGUUCCACGUGUGGGAUUUUGUAUGUACCAUAUGAAUAAGGAUCGGCUAACUCCGUGCCAGCAGCCGCGGUAAUACGGAGGAUCCGAGCGUUAUCCGGAUUUAUUGGGUUUAAAGGGAGCGUAGGUGGAUUGUUAAGUCAGUUGUGAAAGUUUGCGGCUCAACCGUAAAAUUGCAGUUGAAACUGGCAGUCUUGAGUACAGUAGAGGUAGGCGGAAUUCGUGGUGUAGCGGUGAAAUGCUUAGAUAUCACGAAGAACUCCGAUUGCGAAGGCAGUUCACUGGACUGCAACUGACACUGAGGCUCGAAAGUGUGGGUAUCAAACAGGAUUAGAUACCCUUGUAGUC